rnacentral:rRNA from 1 species
CAGUCGCCGCGGGAAUACGUAGGUGGCAAGCGUUGUCCGGAAUUAUUGGGCGUAAAGGGCUCGCAGGCGGUUUCUUAAGUCUGAUGUGAAAGCCCCCGGCUCAACCGGGGAGAGUCAUUGGAAACUGGGAAACUUGAGUGCAGAAGAGGAGAGUGGAAUUCCACGUGUAGCGGUGAAAUGCGUAGAGAUGUGGAGGAACACCAGUGGCGAAGGCGACUCUCUGGUCUGUAACUGACGCUGAGGGGCGAAAGCGUGGGGAGCGAACAGGAUUAGAGACCCCAGUAGUCCCUGUCUCUUAUAC